AGCGAACGCUGGCGGCAGGCUUAACACAUGCAAGUCGAACGGGCAUCUUCGGAUGUUAGUGGCAGACGGGUGAGUAACACGUGGGAACGUACCCUUCGGUUCGGAAUAACUCAGGGAAACUUGAGCUAAUACCGGAUACGCCCUUUUGGGGAAAGGUUUACUGCCGAAGGAUCGGCCCGCGUCUGAUUAGCUUGUUGGUGGGGUAACGGCCUACCAAGGCGACGAUCAGUAGCUGGUCUGAGAGGAUGAUCAGCCACACUGGGACUGAGACACGGCCCGACCACCGCGGGGGGGAAGAAGGGGGAAAUAGGGAAAAGGGGGCGAAGGCGUGACCCAGCCGUGCCGGGUGAGAAAAGAGGGCCUGGGGGUGGAAAAGUUUUUUUGGCGGGGAGGAAAAGGAGGGAACGGAAAAAAAAGCCCCCGGAAAAUUUGGUC
rnacentral:rRNA from 1 species